rnacentral:rRNA from 1 species
UUAAACUGAAGAGUUUGAUCAUGGCUCAGAUUGAACGCUGGCGGCAGGCCUAACACAUGCAAGUCGAGCGGUAACAGAUCUAGCUUGCUAGAUGCUGACGAGCGGCGGACGGGUGAGUAAUGCAUAGGAAUCUGCCCGGUAGUGGGGGAUAACCUGGGGAAACCCAGGCUAAUACCGCAUACGUCCUACGGGAGAAAGGGGGCUCCGGCUCCCGCUAUGGGAUGAGCCUAUGUCGGAUUAGCUAGUUGGUGAGGUAACGGCUCACCAAGGCAACGAUCCGUAGCUGGUCUGAGAGGAUGAUCAGCCACAUCGGGACUGAGACACGGCCCGAACUCCUACGGGAGGCAGCAGUGGGGAAUAUUGGACAAUGGGGGAAACCCUGAUCCAGCCAUGCCGCGU